UGAGUUUGUGUUGCUGCUUUCU
rnacentral:miRNA from 1 species